CGGACGGGUGAGUAACGCGUGGGAAUAUACCUUUUGGUGGGGGACAACAGUUGGAAACGACUGCUAAUACCGCAUACGCCCUACGGGGGAAAGCGGGGGCCUUCGGGCCUCGUGCUAUUGGAUGAGCCUGCGUCGGAUUAGCUAGUUGGUAGGGUAAAGGCCUACCAAGGCGACGAUCCGUAGCUGGUCUGAGAGGAUGAUCAGCCACACUGGGACUGAGACACGGCCCAGACUCC
rnacentral:rRNA from 1 species